UGGUUGGAACUUAAACAUGGUGGCCAUGAGACAUCCUAAAGGAUGAAAGAACCUAAAGAUGGGAGGAGCCUGGGUCCCUGGGUCCCUGGAUGACAGGAGCUGUCUACUUGCCCUGGACAGCUCACCUACCUCUGGACUAUCAAGUUACAAGACCUUCAUUCUAGAGGGGUCCUCCCUAUCCCGCAAAGAGAAAAACAUUCUUGUCCUCAAAGGCACAGAAAUAUCAAGAAGAAACUGAAAAACAGGCCUUGCUUGUUCCUGCAGUUUAUUACCAUUAGAUCAUAUCCUUUUAUCUUCCAAUCACACUUCUGCAUGACUGUUCGUACAAAUACACAGUUUUUUCUGUUUCUUCGAGUUAUCGUUCAUUUCUGAAAAUGCCCGUAUCAUAUAAAUCUUAUAUUUGCAUGCUUUCCACUUGUUAGUCUGUCUUUUGUUACGGGGGUCUCAGCAAUGAACCUAGCAAUGGGUGAGAAAAAUAAUAUUUUCUCCUCUGCAUUGGACAUGUGGACAUAGGAAGAUAUGGAUGUUCAAUCAGGAAUGAUUAAAAGAACUAACAUCACCACAAACAUGUAUUGCUUUUAGUCAGACAUUGUAAUGCACCCAUCAAAAUUUCUCCCAAAUGUAGCAUCCAUGUGGUAUACUUUUCUAAAUGAACAACUAUAUGUAUGUCUAUUGUUAGUGGCAUAGCUCUUCAAAUUCCAAAGGUCUUUCCUUUAAUAUUCAAUUUUCUCAAGCAGUUCUUAUAAAUUAAAUAGUAGAUAUUGAUUAUUCUGCAUUCCUACACUGAAAAAAAAAAUAGUCCACUAUCAAAACUGCAUAGGAAGGCUGCUUGUUCAAUUUGAUCUAAACAAAAAAUUAGUUAAAGCUAAUCACUGUGGCCUCUUUGAUUACUGAAUAAUUGAAUUCACUGUCUCCGUUGAGUUCUUAAUGAUUUUCAAAUACAUUUUGGAGAAGUCCCCUAGUCUAGCAAAAAAAACAAAAACAAAAUGAGCCUUUAUGAUAAGUUUUAAUUCCCUGUAUCUUGUCUGUUUCUUAUCUGACUUCAAUAAGUUGUAAAAUUAUUCCAAAUUUAUAUCGUACAUUGUCUCAUUUUAAAAACAGAUCCAAGAAGACAUAUGAGACACACUGGAACCGUAAUAGGUCCAUUGUCCAAUAUGCAUGGCAAGUCAAUGCACUGAGGCACUGGGUUACAGCAGAUCA
rnacentral:lncRNA from 1 species